UUACGGGCAUAUCAUGUUCAAACACCGUUUCCAGUACGAUCACCGAAGUUAAGAAACGUCGAGCCUGAUCAGUACCACGAUGGGUGACUGUUUAGGAAUACCAGAGGCUGUAAG